rnacentral:lncRNA from 1 species
UGGUUUUCACGCAGAACAGUCUUGAUGACUGUUCCGGAUAGCGGAGCAACCCGAGUGACUGUUCCGAGUGAGUGUUCCAGCGGCAGAGAUUUUUUAGGAAACUACAAUCAUUACGGGAUUUGCCCUAAUUAUCCAUAUUUUCUCUCCCAGCCGCCUGUGGCUUUGAUAUAUCAUAUUUUCUGUUUCUCUUUAUCAUACUACGCUAUUCUAGACAGAAGAAAACCAUUGGAGACUUUUGUGCUUUUGGAUUGUAAAGGGAGAAGGCUCCAUCUCUCUCACCAUAGAGAAGAUUAUCCUGAACCCU